AGCUCCUUUUGGACGGGGAACGUGUCUACCAACUAUACAGUAGUGCGCUCUCCCAAGAACGUAGUACAUUGCUCUGCACCCGCACGAUGCUCUGAAUAUGAUAUACCUGCGAGUUGGGAAGAUAACAAAUGAACCACUCCUUCCUCUGGGCUUGACAAUGGCAUUGUGGCUGAAUCUGCUCUGUGCCAUAGCAUAUCUGGCACUCUUCUAGAAGAAUUUGUCACGUCCCUGACAUGAUCAGCCUCCAUUGUCCACAUCAUCGGUACA